rnacentral:rRNA from 1 species
AUGUCUGGGAAACGUGCCUGAUGGAGGGGGAGUAACUACUGGAAACGGUAGCUAAUACCGCAUAACGUCGCAAGACCAAAGAGGGGGACCUUCGGGCCUCUUGCCAUCGGAUGUGCCCAGAUGGGAUUAGCUAGUAGGUGGGGUAAAGGCUCACCUAGGCGACGAUCCCUAGCUGGUCUGAGAGGAUGACCAGCCACACUGGAACUGAGACACGGUCCAGACUCCUACGGGAGGCAGCAUG